rnacentral:rRNA from 1 species
UUGGCUCUCGCAUCGAUGAAGAACGCAGCGAAAUGCGAUAAGUAAUGUGAAUUGCAGAAUUCAGUGAAUCAUCGAAUCUUUGAACGCAACUUGCGCUCUCUGGUAUUCCGGAGAGCAUGCCUGUUUGAGUAUCA